CUGAGGACAGCUGCACUGCCUUCACCUCUCAGCUCCAACACUGGCAAACCUUCCCUGACUUCCCCAGGCAGAUGAUUUGUUCUUUCUCUUUUGAGUCCUCUGCAGUUUCAAAUACUGCCAUUUUUAUAAUUGCCUUGUUUUAUUUUAUCACGUCUCUCAGUCUGUGUCUCCCACUGGGCUGUGAACUCUACGGCAGAAGAACGACUCCUCAUUUGUUUGCUGGCUACCUGGAACCUCAGACAGGCCUGGCACUCAGAGUGCUCAAGAAAUAUUUUUGGGGGCCGACCCAGUGGUGCAGCAGUUAAGUGCUCACAUUCUGCUUCCCAGUGGCCCAGGGUUCACGGGUUCAGGUCCCGGGUGCGGACACGGCACCGCUUGGCACACCAUGCUGAGGUACAACUAAAUGGACAUCCACCAACCAAGAGAGAAUUCCCUAUAUAACACAGCACGAUGCCUGAGAGAUCCACACAGCUAUACCUCUGAACGCAGGUGGAUUGGAUCCCUGAGAAAUAGUGGAACCAGAUGAGGAAACUGAGGCAGAGUGAGCCUAGGGGAGCUUGCCCAGGGUCGCACAGCUGGUACCCGGCAGGCCCACGUUGACUCCAGGCAGUCUGGCUGCAGAGUUCGCACCAUGAUGUACCACACGCUUCUACUCUAUCUUCUAUCAAAUGCCAGAUGUGUGCUAUAUCUGCUCAGAUGCCCCUUCUUCCAGGAAGCCUUUCAGCCUUGCCACCGGAUUGGGGAGGACCCUCCUCUGUUUUCUCAUAACACUCUGGCCUUGACUGCACAGAUGCACCACAUUUAGUGCAUGUUUGUUGAGUGAAUAUUAAGUGAUUGCAAAAGAAGGGUUUAACAUGUUUUGUUGAAUCCCAGAGAAACUAUGGACUUCCACCAAACUGCCAAACAUCCACAAAACAGCAGCCAGGUGCUGAGCUUGCUCUCCUGCUCACCACUGCUUCCUCCUCUGGUGUCUUGAGGCCUCCUCCUUGAUCAUCUCAUCUCCAAUGUAGCUUGGUCUCAGUGUCAAGGCCACCACUGAAGUGGCCUUUCUUCUACUUUUUCCACUGUGUCUACUUUUUCCUCAUUGUUGAAAAUAAAAAUAAUCUUGGCCAAACCUCUAUCCUUCAACUCUGCUCUCGUUCCUCACGUUUCCUCAAAGCUUUAUCUGCAGAAAUUCUCAGUUCUGGGAGGGAGUUUAAACCAAGCCAGGAGAUAAGAACUCAUUUAGGGGGACAGAGUUCGCUUAUUUGCCCUGCUUUCCUGAACGUCAUUUCUCUUGCCAGCAGAGGUCAAGAAAAGGAGUGGAGGAAUGCAGCUGCCCCCCGCCACUUCCUAAACAUAACGCCGUUGGACAAUCUUCACCUCCCCA
rnacentral:lncRNA from 1 species